rnacentral:rRNA from 1 species
UACGUAGGGUGCGAGCGUUAAUCGGAAUACUGGGCGUAAGCGUGCGCAGGCGGUUUUGUAAGCCAGAUGUGAAAGCCCCGGGCUUAACCUGGGAAUGGCAUUUGGGACUGCAAGGCUGGAGUUUGGCAGAGGAGACUGGAAUUCCUGGUGUAGCAGUGAAAUGCGUAGAUAUCAGGAGGAAUACCGAUGGCGAAGGCAGGUCUCUGGGGCUAUAACUGACGCUCAUGC